rnacentral:lncRNA from 1 species
AUGGAUCUUGAUGGUUGAGAUUAAAAGAAGAGAGGCAAAUAUGAGUGAACACAAAUUAUGUUUUCUCCUCACUGUUUUCGCACAAGAAAGGACUGCAUAAAAAGAUGUCGAGCCAUGUAGUUCACAAGGAGGAACACAUCGCUUCUACAGCUGGAUUUUUAAAAGACACUAACUUAAUGGUUUUAGUUGUAUUAUUUUAAUUACGGCAACAAAAGGAAUUGGAAGCUGUAAACAGCCAUUUUCUUAAGCCAAUUGUGUGGACAUUAGGUUUAUAAACAAAAUCCAUUGAAACUUUAUAAAAAUAAGAAAUUUUCAUUUAUAUUAAAUUCCAACUCAGUUUUAAUAAUGUACUUGCUUAAUUUUUUAACCACAGAUCUGAUUUCCUAUAAAAAAGGAAAAAAUUAUCUCAUGACAUGCCUAAAGAAAGGUCAGGAAAUUUUACAUUUUCUCAGAUACUCACUGAAAUUAAAGCAAACUAAAAAGAAAAAUUGGCCUUUGCUUCUUCUAGCCUCC